rnacentral:rRNA from 1 species
UACGGGGGGAGCAAGCGUUGUUCGGAUUUACUGGGCGUAAAGGGCGCGUAGGCGGCCUCUGCAAGUCGACUGUGAAAUCUCCGGGCUUAACCCGGAAAGGUCAGCCGAUACUGCAGGCUAGAGUGCAGAAGGGGCAACUGGAAUUCUCGGUGUAGCGGUGAAAUGCGUAGAUAUCAGGAAGAACACCGGUGGCGAAAGCGACUCUGCUAAGGCCGCAACUGACACUGAGG